CAAGUCGGCUGUCCCCCGCUCCAGUGCCACGGGCCUCGUCUGAGCUACCUGGAGGGAGGCCGUGCUGAGUCUGAUGGCUGGGGACGAGGCCAGGAAAGCAGGAACUGCCCGAAACAGAGAGAUGUGUCUUGUUUUGGCGGAGGGUGAUACGGGGAACGGGUAGAACUGUCUUCUCCCAAUUACUCUGGAAAAAGCCACUUCUGAAGGACCUGGAACAAGAAGAGAAAGUUUCCACUGAUGUAAAGGUCUUGGCAUCUUGGUGAAAUUCUCUGUGAUUACCCUUUGCCCUCAAGUUGCUGAGCUCCUCCAUGUAUCUCGUAACUCUGGAGCUUUCAGACCCAUCCAGUGGCCAGGCCAGCCCUAGAAACUGGUCCAAAUGCUGUUUUCUGCUAAGUUCAUGGCCUGCAGAGACCCUCUAAGGUGUCAGUAGGGUGGCUGGAGACAGGUAAAAGAGACAAAUGAAAUGUGUUCGUCUUUGUGUGAGAAGUGCAGCCUUUUUGGCUGCGGGAGUGUUUCAUCUUCUCUCCUCUGAGCCUGCUGUCCCUUCUCAGAGGCUUUUAGAAGGAACCAAGAGCACCAACCACCAGACAAGGAAGGGCCUUGCCUGUGCUAAGUACGUGUGGAGUGGAAAUAUUUAUUUUUUUUUUUUUACUUGUUAGACUGGAAAGUUCCUGAUUUGAGUUUCAGUCUUGGUCAUCGCUGCCUAUUUAGACAGGUUUAUGGCCAUGCAUGACUGAGCAAGCUACUCAUCGAGCAACCGGGUGGAAGAUUCCUGAGGCCAGGCAGAGCAUUCCUCUGGCUGCUUCUGAGGGGAGUCUGGGGGCUUUGCCUCCACAGCUUUUAGUGGGAGCAUCCUCCCAGGAUGAGCUGACCACGAGCCCAGAAGGCCAAGGUGUUCUGCCUGGGGUUAAGGGCUCUGCCCGCUCCAGCAGAGCAUCUGAAACAGCCAUGUGUGAUUGCUGAGGGGUUCCUGUGGCUGCCCUUCCCAGUUAUCUCCCUGUCCCACAGAGUGGGUGGCUUCUUUGCCACCCACUUUUCUUGCUUUACUGCCUGCUAGAAAUGCUGAUAUCUGUGGGCAUGGCCCAACAUCUGCUGAGCUGAGCACAACCACUUCCAUGUGGUCCUGAAGUCCAACCCGAUUUAGAGUGUCACAGCCAUUUUUUGCCCCAACAGAGAUGGUCUUCCCUGUUUUAUUUCUCUCUCUGUGCAAUUUCCUUGCUUUUUUUCCCCCAGUUUGUUCAGUGUGCAGGGAAAGCACCACUGGAUCUCUUCCCCACCCCGAGGAAGGAGCUGUGCCCAGCUCAUCCAGAUGUGACUUUGCAGGACAACUCACAGCACUGCCUGGCUGCUCCACAAGCAGCACACAAAGGAUUAGGCCAAAUUUGAGCCCCUUGAGCUGCUUUUCAGUAUUUUAACUUUGAUAUCAAGGGCCUAAACAUGGCUUAGGAGGAAGUUACACCCAGCAGGAAAGGUGGAUGUGGCUGUGGAACGUGUGGAAUUGUGGCUGCACCUCUGCAUGAACCACAGGAGUGUUUUCUGCGUCCCCUCACAGCACAGCACAGCAGGAAUGAGCUUUUCCUAGAGAAAAUUCUCCCUGUGCCUCACCUCUGCUGAGAACAUCCCUCUACAUCAAUUUAAUCCCUUCACUUCAUCUGAAUAAGCCAUGGAAUGAGUUCCUGGAGAGACCUGCUCAGCAGUUUGGGGGUGGCCCCCCGCCCAUCCUGCCCAACAGAGAUCAGCCAUGGGCCACUGCUUGUUUUUGUGGUGUUUUAUCAGGCUGCUGCAUGUCCUUUAACUGCCAGCUCCUUGUAAAAGCUUGUUUCUUCUCCUCAUGCUUGAAAGCAUUUGCUGCUCAUCCCUUCUUGGGUGGCUGAGUAUAAAAGCAGCUUCCUCUGAGAGAUUUAGUGUCUGCUCAAACUCAAUGCUGCACUAAAUCCAAGGAACACCCUUUUGCAUCCUCACAGAAUUAUCUGAUGGCUUCAGGAGGGACAAACCUGUUUGUCUUUUUGAUUCCUAAGUAAAACUUCUUUAAAAAAAAAAAAAGAUUUUUCUUUAAAAAAAAUUUCACCCACGUAUCUAGAAUCAAAGCUGCCUGGUGAUCCAUGAGAGAUUGGACACUCACCAGUGCUUUCCAGGGGAAUUCAUGCUCAGAAAGGAGGUGAUUUUUGUGGUGUAUUUUGAAAUUUCCCUGUACUUGUUGACUUUAGAUUGGUGGUCUAUUUGCAAUUUUUGUACAGUAUUUGAAGAAAAAGUUCAAUACAACAGAAGCGGGACAGGAAUGAUCCCCACCCCCUUGUUUUUAACAUUGUGUGAAUCUGAAAGAGGGGAAAAAAAGAGGUGGAUGGCACCACGGGAAGAUCAUGACAGUAGAGCAAAUAGUGUGGGUUGUGGCCUGUGGUGGAAUGUCAAGAUCAAACUUAUUGUGGCUUUUGCAGCUUGGCUAAUCCAUGUUGUGAAAGCUUCUGUACGUGCACCUAGGGCACAGACUGCCUUUGGAAUCAGGGAUGGAGCUUUCCCCUCACAGACAGUGGAGUCAGUCUGGAAAUUAGUUUAAAAAGGGAUGAUACAUCCAAGUAAAUUCGCCAGAUCCUUCUUCUGGCUAUGCUGACAGAAUUACUGUAUUAUUAACAUUGUUCUUCCUCACUCUCUUGGCUCUAAGUGUAUUUUUACAAGGCUUGUAAAAGAAAUAAAAAUAAAUUAACGGAUAUUCUGGGAAAAUUAGAGAAUUGCAAUCUCCUACAGCAUUUUGUUUAGACUGUGUGUAAUAAUACUCCAGAGAGAAAAAAUCCUGUGUCACAACUUAGAAGAAGUUUGUCUAAAGAAGGUUUUAUCCCCCUUGUCUACAAAAUCUUGUAGUACAAAGCUACAGAUUAUUCUGCAUUUGGGACAUUUUCCCUGUUUAAAAACAGCUUUGUUUUCUGUCUCCAAAGCAAAUUUCCCAGCAGAAUUUCAAACAUCCUUUGUCUGUCUCCCUUUGGAGAGUGUUUCCAGGAACCAGCAGCUUCUGUGUACCCCAGUCAUUUGCAUUCUGUGCUGUAAGUACCCAGAGAAAACUUGUUGCCUAAAUCCCGGGUUUCCCACUUGGAAAAAUUCAGGCACGUAAAAGAAAUAAACUGAAAAGUUUGCACCAACUGUUUUGCUCAAGGAGCGACAAGAAGGAGUUUUCAGUUAAACUCCCAGAGCAAGUGGAGCCCAGAUGUUUUUAGUAAACAGUUUUCAAAACUCACAGUUGAGAUCAGUGUCAAAUUUCCAGACACAUGAUGAACCUUGGAGCCAAGUUUAGGAUUGCUUUUGUGUUUACAUAAAGCCUGGAAGCUGAAUGACACUGAAAUUUGUGGAUGUAGUGGAGGUUCUUAAUAACAAAUAUUUGACUGGAUGCAAUUUCUCUUAUUUACAGGACUUUGAGAUUUGGGGAAAGAAAAAAAAAAAGGUUACUGUAUUUUUGUUGAUCUUACAUCUGAGGCAUAUUCAGCACUUUCUUGCUCACUGGAACAGUUGUUGAUUUUUAAUUGGAAUCUGUUAUUAUUAUUCUGGCCAUUAAACCAGCAUGGCAAAAUCAAGUGUUUUAAAGCUGGAGGUAAACCAUUUCUACAGGUGAGAAAUGAAGUUUGUGCAUUCCUGGGCAUUCUGGCUCUCUGCUCUCACCAAGGCAGCCCUCUCGCUGAAGGUUUAACUGGAUACCUAAGCCACAUGCCAAGGUUUUUGCUCAGGGACUGUAUCAGCAAAAAUGUCUCAGAAUUUAAUUUGGGCAAAUACUGUCCAGUAUUUGUUUAGGAGUCCUGUUUUCUGCCCCUUUGGAAAGCUCAUGCAUGAGAAGGGCACGGGUAGAGUCAGGAUAAAUUAUAUUAAAGUGGGGGUAUGAAUCAUGGAAACUUCCCCUUUGGAUGUAUCUUGGUCUCUGACCUAAUAGCCUUCUGUAUCAUAUGCAGACACUCACCAAAGAAGCUCUGAUUAGUUUUGCAUGCUUAAAACUCAGCUUUACUAUCCCUAAAUUGGCAGAUUUUGAGAUCUGUGCCCUGUGUACAGUAGCUAAGCUGUAAACAAGAGUGUUUGCUCCAUUGUUUCUGAUGGGAUGUCAUCCAAGGAAAAACAGGGAUUGUCUUCAAUAAUUUGAAGCUUGUGUAGGCAGACAAUACAUUGUUUUUGCCUGUGGGCAGCAUGAACAUGCCUCUACUUCAGCCCAAGAAAGCAGCUGAGAGGGACAUGAAUUCAAAAUCCACACAUGUUGCUAAGAGGAUGGGACAGGCCCUGGGCA